UACGUAGGGGCGAGCGUUGUCCGGAGUACUGGGCGUAAAGCGCACGCAGGCGGUCUGCUAAGUUUGGAGUGACAGUUGGUGGCUUAACUGCCAAAGUGCUUCGAAACUGACAGACUUGAGGCUUCGAGAGGGACACGGAAUUCCGGGUGGAGUGGUGAAAUGCGUAGAGAUCCGGAGGAACACCAAAGGCGAAGGCAGUGUCCUGGGGAGU
rnacentral:rRNA from 1 species